rnacentral:rRNA from 1 species
UACGUAGGUGGCAAGCGUUGUCCGGAUUUAUUGGGCGUAAAGCGAGCGCAGGUGGUUUAUUAAGUCUGGUGUAAAAGGCAGUGGCUCAACCAUUGUAUGCAUUGGAAACUGGUAGACUUGAGUGCAGAAGAGGAGAGUGGAACUCCAUGUGUAGCGGUGAAAUGCGUAGAUAUAUGGAAGAACACCAGUGGCGAAAGCGGCUCUCUGGUCUGUAACUGACGCUGAGGUUCGAAAGCGUGGGGAGCGAACAGG